rnacentral:rRNA from 1 species
UACGUAGGGUGCGAGCGUUAAUCGGAAUUACUGGGCGUAAAGCGUGCGCAGGCGGUUCGUUGUGUCGGUGGUGAAAGCCCCGGGCUUAACCUGGGAACUGCAUUGGUGACUGCAUUGCUGGAGUAUGGCAGAGGGGGGUGGAAUUCCACGUGUAGCAGUGAAAUGCGUAGAGAUGUGGAGGAACACCGAUGGCGAAGGCAGCCCCCUGGGCCAAUACUGACGCUCAUGCACGAAAGCGUGGGGAGCAAACAGG